rnacentral:pre_miRNA from 1 species
AGAGGGAUAGCUGGGUCAAAUGGUGGUUCCAUUCCCAGAUUUCCAAGGAAUCUCCAUACUGCUUUCCAUAUAGGCAGUACCAAUUUGCAGUCCUACCAGCUAU